ensembl:snoRNA Gm24470 small nucleolar RNA SNORA17
CUUGUUCCUAGAAACAUUGCAGAUGUGGCUGCUAGGUCACAUGUGUGUCAGGAGAUGACAGACGGAAGAGAGGCUGUGUCUACAUUCAGUGUACUAACCUAAGAACAUCUGAAUGAUUAUUAACCUAAUAUU